rnacentral:lncRNA from 10 species
UGAGCCUACCAGUUCUGCCGACAAAAGGACUAGCCUGGUGCUAGAAAACAGCAUUACAAUGAAAUAGGUAACCUUUAAGAUCCUGAAUUCAUCAGGGUUAUACAGAGAAACAGAACCAAUAGUGUGUGUGUGUGUGUGUGUGUGUGUGUGUGUGUGUGAUGUGUGUGAGAGACUGUGUGUGUGCACAUGUGAGUGUGUGAAUGAGUGUGUAAGAGUGUCUGUGUGUGUGCAAGUGUGUGAUUGUGUGUGAGUGUGUAUGUGUGAGCAUGAGAGUGCGACUGUGUGUGUGUGUGUCUGUGUAAAACUGGCUCACAGGAUGAUGAUGGCUGACGAGUCCCACAGUCUUUCUGCAGGGUAGUCCAUAAGCUGGAGCCCCAGGACAGUCAAUGUGUGCUUCUGAGUCCCAAAGCCUGAGGCCAGGAAGAGCCAAUUGUUCAGUUCAAGUCUAAAGGCAAGAAAAAGCCAGUAUCCCAGCUGGAAGGCCGUUGGGUAGGAGAGAUUCUCUCUUACACGAGGAUGAUCA